rnacentral:rRNA from 1 species
GACGAACGCUGGCGGCGUGCUUAACACAUGCAAGUCGAACGGAAAGGCCCUGCUCUUGUGGGGUGCUCGAGUGGCGAACGGGUGAGUAAAACGUGAGUAACAUGCCCUUGACUUUGGGAUAACAUCAGGAAACUGGGGCUAAUACCGGAUAGGAGCUCCUGCUGCAUGGUGGGGGUUGGAAAGUUUCGGCGGUUGGGGAUGGACUCGCGGCUUAUCAGCUUGUUGGUGGGGUAGUGGCUUACCAAGGCUUUGACGGGUAGCCGGCCUGAGAGGGUGACCGGCCACAUUGGGACUGAGAUACGGCCCAGACUCCUACGGGAGGCAGCAGUGGGGAAUAUUGCACAAUGGGCGGAAGCCUGAUGCAGCAACGCCGCGUGCGGGAUGACGGCCUUCGGGUUGUAAACCGCUUUCGCCUGUGACGAAGCGUGAGUGACGGUAAUGGGUAAAGAAGCACCGGCUAACUACGUG